GGGAUCUCAAAAAAUUAUAAUAAAAAAAUAAUAAUUCUAUUUUGAAUUGUGGUAAAAUAUACAUAAAAUUUACUACCUUAACCACUUCUAAGUGGCAGUUGGAACAGGGGUCAAGGAGAGCCCUUGGGUUGGGUAAUGUAGAGUAUAUUCACAUUGCCAUGCAACCAAUCUCCGGAACUUUCUCAUCUGACAAAACCAAAACUCUAUAUCCACUAAGCAACUUCCCAUUUUCUCCCUUCCCCAUGUCCCUGGCAACCCCCGUUCUACCUUCUGUUUCUAUUAGUUUGCUUACUCAGUCUGGACGCUUCACAUAAGUGAAGGAACACAGUAUUUGUCUUUUUCUAACUGGCUUAUUUCACUUAGCAUAAUGUCCUCAAUGUUCAUCCAUGUUGUAGCAUGUGUUAGAAUUUCCUUCCUUUUUAAGGCUGAAGAAUAUUUUAUUGUAUGUAUAUACCACAUUUUAUCAAUUCAUCUGCCUAUGGACAAUUCGGCUGCAUCCAUCUUUUGACGAGUGUGAAUACCACUGCUAUAAAUAUCAGUGUACAAAUAUUUCUAUGAGACCUUGCUUUCAAUUAUUUUGGCUAUAUACCCAGAAGUGAUAUUGCCGGAUCAUUUGGUAAUUCUAUUUUCAAUUUUUUGAGAAACUGCCUGUCCUGUGCUGAGCAGGUCUAUAUAAACCUACCCGCAAAGGCCAAGGAACCUGAGAUACCAAAGAAAGAGGCUGACAAAUCCAGUUUCUCAGAAAGAAACAUUUAAUAGGCGUUUAUGAACAGAAGGCAAGUCAGGGAUGGCACCAAGAUAAGAUGGUGGAUCCCUGUGCCAUCACCCCCACCCCCCCGACCCAGGGCUUCUAUAGCAUAGGGGAAGGGUAAUGCGGGCUUCAGCAGGGAUGUGUAUGGCCAGACACGGUGGCUCACGCCUGCAAUCCCAGCUCUUUGGGAGGCCAAGGUGGGCGGAUCACCUGAGGUCAGGAGUUCCAGACCAGCCUGGCCAACACGGUAAAACCUCGUCUCUACUAAAAAUACAAAAAUUAGCCAGGCGUGGUGGCAGGCGCCUGUAAUCCCAGUUACUCGGGAAGCUGAGGCAGGAGAAUCGCUUGAGCCCAGGAGGUGAAGUUUGCAGUGAGCUGAGAUUGUGCCACUGCAGUCCAACCUGGGAGACAGAGUGAGACUCGGUCUCAAAAAAUAAAAAAUAUAUUUUUUAAAAAGAUAAAAUAGAAAUCAUAGAUGAAGUCUUGGAACUGGGAUUAAUCAGAAUAUGGCAGAUUAGCAUCCAAGAUGGAAUUGCUUUAUUCUCAUUCAAGGUUUCCCUCAUUCUUCACUCUCCCCAUGCUGGUCACCUUGCUGUUUGUUCCUCGAACACAUAUGAAAUGCGUUUCUGUCUUGGCAGUCAUCCUGCUACCUGUAAUGUCAGCACUGCUUUCUGUUGUCCCUUCAGUCAGGUCACUGUUCAAAUAGCUCUCUAGACAGGCUCUUCCUUAUCAUUCUACUUAAAAUAGCCCCCAAUCACUCUGUGUCCCUUUAGCCUGCUUCCUCUUCCUGCUAUUUCAUACUACCUGAAAAAAUACUUGAACUUCCUAGAACAUAAGCUCAUAAAAGCAAGAACUGUGCUCCACCUCUCCUCUCCUCUACCCCAGCACUCAGAAGAGAAACAGAGUCAGCAUCCAGUGAGUGUUCAUGAAUCAAGUCACUGCUUGGCAGAAUUCAGCACUGGGACCACAGCCUCGCCUAUCUUCAACUCUUUCUCCUUCUGCUUUUCCUCCUCCCACUCUAGUAGCCACUCUUCUGGGGGCUUGUCCCUUAAAUGAUUAGUCCUUACUGACCUAUUUUCUGUCCACUUUAUCUGUUUUUGAGAGAGGGUCUCACUCUGUUGCCCAGGCUGGAGUGCAGUGGCAUGAAUAUGGGUCACUGCAGCCUCCACCUCCUGGGCUCAAGUGAUCUUCCUGCCUCAGCCUGCCAUGCCAUGUAACUGAGGCCACAGGCAUGUGCCACCAUGUCCAGCUAAUUUCUUGAUUUUUUUUUUGGUAGAAAUGGGUCUCACUUUAUUGCCCAGUCUGGUCUUGAAGUCCUACACUCGAGCAGUCAUCUCAACUUGGCCUCCCAAAGUGCUGGGAUUACAGGCAUGAGAUACUGCACCUGGUCUUAUUUUUUCUUUUCUUAAGAUACAGGGUCUCACCAUCUGGCCCAGGCUGAACUCAAACUGCUGAGCUCAAGUAAUUCCCCCACCUCAGCCUCCGAAGUAGCUAGGACUAAAGGCAUGAAACCACCAUGCUUGGCUUGUCCAAUUUCAUUCUACACACUUUCUUGGUAUUUAAACAGCUGCUGUUGCUCUUCAUUCUGUAGCUCUACAUCAGAUUCAUGCUCUAGUCCUGUAUAUCCAAAUGAUGACUAGAGGCUGCCGGCUCUGCUCUUUCAAAGGCACAAUGAGCGUAGCCCGUCUACAAAACUCUCCCUUUUCCAAUCCAGCUUUCCCUCCUGCAUCACCUAUCUCUCUACAUCUGGAACCAUCGGCAGCUGCCUUCAUAAGGCACCUCAGUCUGGCAUUCGGAAAACCACCGUCUUGCCAGAGCCUCUUGGUCUUGGGUAGCAAAAGCUGUAUGCAAUCUAAAUCAAGCUUUCAAUCAUGAGAAAUCACAUUCCUUCUUUUCCCUUUGUAAUAUACUCAUGUGUUUUUUUUUUUCCUUUCUCAAUAAGCAAAUUGUACCACCAUCUUAUUCUGAGAUGCUCCUUUUUAAAAGCUGUAGAUCACAUUAAUGGAAGUGGUUACUGCUGGGAAUAUUUUCCAUGUGCAAUGAUCUGUAACCCUCUUUUUCUUUUUUUUGAGACCGAGUCUUGCUCUGUUGCCCAGGCCAGAGUGCAGUGGCACAAUCUCUGCUCACUGCAAGCUUUGCCUCCUGAGUUCAUGCCAUUAUCCUGCCUCAGCCUCCCAAGUAGCUGGGACUACAGGUGCCCGCCACCACGCCCAGCUAAUUUUUUUUUUUGAGAUGGAGUCUCGCUUGGUCGCCCAGGCUGGAGUGCAGUGGUGCAAUCUCAGCUCAUUGCAAGCUCCGCCUCCUGGGUUCACGCCAUUCUCCUGCCUCAGCCUCCCGAGUAGCUGAGGCAGGAGAAUGGUGUGAAUCCGGGAGGCAGAGCUUGCAGUGAGCAGAUAUCAUGCCACUGCACUCCAGCUGGGGCAACAGAGCAAAAC
rnacentral:lncRNA from 10 species